CAUUAUUAGUCACUGGAAUGGUUUCAAUACAGGUAAAAUUUCUAGUGGCAGAACAAACUCUUUGGGUAUUCGUUAUUUACAAUUCAAUACU